rnacentral:rRNA from 1 species
GUCCUCACCGCCAUGCCAACGUUUGCCCUUACAUCUCUUAAAAUCCCAGUAAAGCUGUUGAAAGAAAUAGACAAAUGUAGACGCCGAUUCCUCUGGGGACACGAUCAGGAGCUCACCGGCGGUAGCUGCAAGGUGAGCUGGGCACGGGUUUGCUCCCCGAUCGAGCACGGUGGCCUUGGCAUCCUCGAUCUGCCCAAGUUCAGCCGUGCCCUCCGCCUACGAUGGCUCUGGCAUGCAUGGAAAAGCUCGGAGCGCCCUUGGGCAGGAACAGAGCUGCCAUGCGAUGCCUCCCAUCAUGCCCUUUUU